CUGAGACACGGUCCAGACUCCUACGGGAGGCAGCAGUAGGGAAUAUUGCGCAAUGGGGGAAACCCUGACGCAGCAACGCCGCGUGGAGGAUGACACUUUUCGGAGCGUAAACUCCUUUUCUUAGGGAAGAAUUCUGACGGUACCUAAGGAAUAAGCACCGGCUAACUCCGUGCCAGCAGCCGCGGUAAUACGGAGGGUGCAAGCGUUACUCGGAAUCACUGGGCGUAAAGGGCGCGUAGGCGGAUUAUCAAGUCUCUUGUGAAAUCUAAUGGCUUAACCAUUAAACUGCUUGGGAAACUGAUAGUCUAGAGUGAGGGAGAGGCAGAUGGAAUUGGUGGUGUAGGGGUAAAAUCCGUAGAUAUCACCAAGAAUACCCAUUGCGAAGGCGAUCUGCUGGAACUCAACUGACGCUAAGGCGCGAAAGCGUGGGGAGCAAACAGGAUUAGAUACCCUGGUAGUCCACGCCCUAAACGAUGUACACUAGUUGUUGGGGUGCUAGUCAUCUCAGUAAUGCAGCUAACGCAUUAAGUGUACCGCCUGGGGAGUACGGUCGCAAGAUUAAAACUCAAAGGAAUAGACGGGGACCCGCACAAGCGGUGGAGCAUGUGGUUUAAUUCGAAGAUACGCGAAGAACCUUACCUGGGCUUGAUAUCCUAAGAACCUUUUAGAGAUAAGAGGGUGCUAGCUUGCUAGAACUUAGAGACAGGUGCUGCACGGCUGUCGUCAGCUCGUGUCGUGAGAUGUUGGGUUAAGUCCCGCAACGAGCGCAACCCACGUAUUUAGUUGCUAACGGUUCGGCCGAGCACUCUAAAUAGACUGCCUUCGUAAGGAGGAGGAAGGUGUGGACGACGUCAAGUCAUCAUGGCCCUUAUGCCCAGGGCGACACACGUGCUACAAUGGCAUAUACAAUGAGACGCAAUACCGCGAGGUGGAGCAAAUCUAUAAAAUAUGUCCCAGUUCGGAUUGUUCUCUGCAACUCGAGAGCAUGAAGCCGGAAUCGCUAGUAAUCGUAGAUCAGCCAUGCUACGGUGAAUACGUUCCCGGGUCUUGUACUCACCGCCCGUCACACCAUGGGAGUUGAUUUCACUCGAAGCCGGAAUACUAAACUAGUUACCGUCCACAGUGGAAUCAGCGACUGGGGUGAAGUCGUAACAAGGUAACCGUAGGAGAACCUGCGGUUGGAUCACCUCCUUUCUA
rnacentral:rRNA from 1 species